rnacentral:rRNA from 1 species
GACAGAGGGGGCAAGCGUUGCUCGGAAUCACUGGGCGUAAAGGGCGCGUAGGCGGGAUGGCAAGUCAGUCGUGAAAUCUCUCGGCUCAACCGAGAAACGUCGGCUGAUACUGCCGUUCUUGAGGGAUGCAGGGGAGACUGGAAUUCCCGGUGUAGCGGUGAAAUGUGUAGAGAUCGGGAGGAACACCGGUGGCGAAGGCGGGUCUCUGGGCAUCUCCUGACGCUGAGGCGCGAAAGCCAGGGGAGCAAACGGG